UACGGGGGGGGCAAGCGUUGUUCGGAAUUACUGGGCGUAAAGGGCUCGCAGGCGGCCGACUAAGUCAGACGUGAAAUCCCUUGGCUUAACCAAGGAAUGGCGUCUGAUACUGGACGGCUUGAAUUCGGGAGAGGGAUGUGGAAUUCCAGGUGUAGCGGUGAAAUGCGUAGAUAUCUGGAGGAACACCGGUGGCGAAGGCGACUUACUGGACUGUAACUGACGCUGAGGCAUGAAAGCGUGGGGAGCAAACAGG
rnacentral:rRNA from 1 species